rnacentral:rRNA from 1 species
AGAGUUUGAUCCUGGCUCAGGACGAACGCUGGCGGCGUGCCUAAUACAUGCAAGUAGAACGCUGAAGAAAGGAGCUUGCUUCUUUUGGAUGAGUUGCGAACGGGUGAGUAACGCGUAGGUAACCUGCCUUGUAGCGGGGGAUAACUAUUGGAAACGAUAGCUAAUACCGCAUAACAGCUUUUGACACAUGUUAGAAGCUUGAAAGAUGCAAUUGCAUCACUACGAGAUGGACCUGCGUUGUAUUAGCUAGUAGGUAGGGUAACGGCCUACCUAGGCGACGAUACAUAGCCGACCUGAGAGGGUGAUCGGCCACACUGGGACUGAGACACGGCCCAGACUCCUACGGGAGGCAGCAGUAGGGAAUCUUCGGCAAUGGGGGCAACCCUGACCGAGCAACGCCGCGUGAGUGAAGAAGGUUUUCGGAUCGUAAAGCUCUGUUGUAGGAGAAGAACGUGUGUGAGAGUGGAAAGUUCACACAGUGACGGUAACUUACCAGAAAGGGACGGCUAACUACGUGCCAGCAGCCGCGGUAAUACGUAGGUCCCGAGCGUUGUCCGGAUUUAUUGGGCGUAAAGCGAGCGCAGGCGGUUUAAUAAGUCUGAAGUUAAAGGCAGUGGCUUAACCAUUGUUCGCUUUGGAAACUGUUAAACUUGAGUGCAGAAGGGGAGAGUGGAAUUCCAUGUGUAGCGGUGAAAUGCGUAGAUAUAUGGAGGAACACCGGUGGCGAAAGCGGCUCUCUGGUCUGUAACUGACGCUGAGGCUCGAAAGCGUGGGGAGCAAACAGGAUUAGAUACCCUGGUAGUCCACGCCGUAACGAUGAGUGCUAGGUGUUAGCCCUUUCCGGGGCUUAGUGCCGCAGCUAACGCAUUAAGCACUCCGCCUGGGGAGUACGACGCAGGUUGAAACUCAAAUGAAUUGACGG